GCUUGACAAUAGGUGGCGUUUCGUUUCUGAUAAAGUUUGCAGUCAUGGACAUAAAUUAUUAGAAAUUAACCUUCGUCACGGAUUGAAGACGCUUUUCUGUCAAUCAGGGUUAACAAUAACAUCAUGGUUACAUUAUACUGAAAAGCAAGGAGGAAAAAAUUGCGAAGAAAACGAAGAACGAACAGAAAAGUAAAUGUGGACGCACUAAGCUGAUCAAAGUUUACGUUUACAAGUGAUGCUUUUGAAAAUGAGAGUAAUUAAGUCGAGACUGGUCAUUAACAGCAUGUAAUGUAUUGCAUCCAGUAAGGAACUCUGGCUUCCUCUUAAUUGUAACAGUAUUAUAUUUCGGAAGAAAAUGGUUAAUGAAGGAAAUCCGGAAUAAUGAAGACAUAAUAUGAUAUGGCUUUUACUGAUCUUGGUAUUAAGAUGCCCCUUACUAAAGACGAAAAAGACAUUAGGAAACAGCAUAGAUAUAAUACCUCUACCCGAAGAAAACGUCAAUGAAAUAGUAAACUGCAAAAGAAAUAACAUUCAAGACAAAGGAAAUGUAAAAGGAUAACUUCAGAAUAAUUAAUUCCAGAAAAAACAGAAGGCUAUACAUAAGUUCACAAAAAAUGUAAUAUAAUACCAAAGCCACAAGAAAAGAAGAAUGAAGAACGAUGUUUUAGCUGCAUAUUUUAACUGUAGAUCUAAAACUUGUUCGUUUAACAAAUUGAUCUGUUUCCAGCUUUGAUAAUCAUAAAACGUAGA